UUAUCAUUCCUGGCCUAGUGAAAUGUCUAAAAGGAAAAAAAAAAUCCUCUCACUUAAAAAUUAACUGCUGACAGGGUAAAGAAAAGGACAAAAGUUUAAUGUGCGGGCUGGUCUGUGGGGAUUCGGGUUCGGGGUUUCUUGGUGGGCGUCAGGGGCAGGCAACAGAGUGGCGGCCGCUACGGCCCUGGAAAGGCGCCAUGUAGAAGCUGCGGCGAGUCCUGAGCGGCCAGGACGACGAGGAGCAGGGCCUGACCGCGCAGGUCCUGGAUGCCUCAUCCCUUAGUUUCAACACCAGAUUGAAAUGGUUUGCCAUCUGCUUCGUAUGUGGCGUUUUCUUUUCUAUUCUUGGAACUGGAUUGCUGUGGCUUCCGGGCAGCAUAAAGCUUUUGCAGUGUUUUAUACCCUCGGCAAUCUUGCUGCGUUAGCCAGUACAUGCUUUUUGAUGGGACCUGUGAAACAACUGAAGAAAAUGUUUGAAACAACAAGAUUGCUUGCAACAAUUAUUAUGCUGUUGUGUUUCGUAUUUACCCUGUGUGCUGCUCUUUGGUGGCAUAAGAAGGGACUGGCUAUGUUAUUCUGCAUAUUGCAGUUCUUGUCAAUGACCUGGUAUAGCCUGUCGUACAUCCCAUAUGCAAGGGAUGCAGUUAUCAAAUGCUGUUCUUCUCUCCUAAGUUGAAAAUCAGAAACUCGUGGAAAAAAGUACUUGAAUGUUGAUACUCUAUGUUUGGUGAAGUUUGCUUUUCCCCAUAAAAUACUCCAGAAACAACUGAAGUGACAGUUGAAGACUGUUUUGUACUGUCUCAUUUUUAUACUGGUAAAAACUACAUGCUUGAUUAAACCAUUAAAUGCUUGUAACUUUAAA